GACGGCUACCACAUCCAAGGAGGCAGCAGGCGCGCAAAUUACCCAAUCCUGACACGGGGAGGUAGUGACAAUAAAUAACAUUUCCGGGCACAUCGCUGGAAAAUGGAAUGAUACAAUCUAAAUCCCUUAACGAGUAUCAAUUGGAGGGCAAGUCUGGGGCCAGCCGCGGUAAUUCCAGCUCCAAUAGCGUAUAUUUAAGUUGUUGCAUUAAAAAGCUCUAGUUGGAUUUCGGGUGGGUUCUAGCGGUCCGCUUCGUGAGUACUGCUAUGGCCUUCCUUUCUACGGGGGACGGGCUCCUGGGAUUCCUUCUCGGGAUCCGGAUUCCGUGAUGAUACUUUGAGUAAAUUGGAGUGUUCAAAGCAAGCCUGCGCUCUGAACAUUUUACAUGGAAUAUCACGAUAGGACUCUGGCCUAUCUUGUUGGUCUGUAGGACCAGAGUAAUGAUUAAAGGGACAGUCGGGGGCAUUCUAUUUCAUUGUCAGAGUGAAAUUCUUGGAUUUAUGAAAGACAACUACUGCAAAGCAUUUCCAAGGAUGUUUUCUUAAUCAAGAACGAAAGUUGGGGGGUCGAAAAUAAUACCGCUAUCUCCCAUAAACGAGACUAGGGAUUACAGACUUUCAUUGAUGACUCUGCUAGCACCUUAUGUGAAAACAAAUUUUUGGUUCCGGGGGAUGGUCGAGGUGAAACUUGAAUUGACGAAGGGCCCCCCGCGGGAGCUGCCGGCUUAUUUACACGGGAAAAUACAGGCCCAGGAAGACGAGCCUUCUUGUCGGGGGGGGGUUUGG
rnacentral:rRNA from 1 species